AUCAUAUAUACCAAAGCCAAAAAAAAAUUACCCAUAGACUCCACGACAAAAAAACCUAGAUCUCUUCCAAUCCGCCAUAGACUCCACGAAACUCUUCGCCAGCCUCAUUUUGCCUCCAUUCGUUCAUCUUUCCUCCAGUCUCAGGUGAUUCGUCACCAUCCUGAAGAAUCGUCUCCUCUCAUCUCUAAACCCUAGCCGCCGAUGUCGUCGCUGAUUCUCCUCGUCGUAUAUGUCUCUUGUUAAUUUUGUUUACUCGUCAUCCCCUUACCUCGGAAAAAGUUAGGGUUACGGAUCCGAAUUAGCAACCAUGGAAGAGAUCACCGAUGGAGUGAACAACAUGAACUUGGCCGUUGAUUCCCAGAAGUAAAAUCGGAUUCAGGUUUCAAACACCAAGAAACCAUUGUUCUUUUACGUCAAUCUCACAAAGAGGUAUAUGCAGCAGUACAAUGAUGUCGAACUUCCUGCCUUUGGAAUGGAAUAAAUAGUUUAGGAGAAGGAGCUUGCAUGUGGUUGUAGGAGCUUAAGUGCCUAUCGACGGGAGUGCUAAUAGGAACAAUUGUUCAAAUCAAAGUUUUAUGCGUUCUCCUUUUGAUGAGGCGAAAUAGAUAGAGGAGAAGAAAUUGAAGAGAUCGAAGUUUGUCUCUGUCCAUAUGAUGUUAGUUCUAUUUUGUUUAAGACUUAUAAUGAUAGUAUAAGAUUUGAUAUGAUGUUAUGUAAGACUUGUUUGGCUAAUUGGUUAAUGUAAUAUUACUUGUUGAUGAUUUAUAAAAUAUAAAAGUUAUAUAUAA